UACGAAGGGGGCUAGCGUUGCUCGGAAUCACUGGGCGUAAAGCGCACGUAGGCGGGUUCUUAAGUCGGUGGUGAAAUCCUGGAGCUCAACUCCAGAACUGCCUUCGAUACUGGAGAGCUCGAGUCCGGGAGAGGUGAGUGGAACUGCGAGUGUAGAGGUGAAAUUCGGUAGAUUAUUCGCAAGAACACCAGUGGCGAAAGGCGGCUCACUGGCCCGGUACUGACGCUGAGGUGCGAAAGCGUGGGGAGCAAACAGG
rnacentral:rRNA from 1 species